ensembl:lncRNA
AAAAAAAUGACUGUGAGCAGCAGCAUUGUGUUGUAGAAUCACAAUCACUAUAUUACAGUAAUCUCAUGUAAAUGUGCACAUUUAUUGUAAUAAUGUGAUGUGCACAGUAUUGUGCUAGCACUUAGGUUCUCUGCUGCAUGUGUUUGAGUCAUGUGUGCUUUCCAGUACUUGUUCCUGAUAGUCAGUCUUGUCCGUCAGUCUUGUAAGCCUUAUGGCAGGAGUGUCCAAUCCUGUUCCUAGAGGGCCAACAUCCUACAGAGUUUAGUGCCAGCCCUAUUUAAAACACCUGGCCCAGCUAAUUAAUUUUGCGCUACUGGUUGUCAUCCAACCCGACUUAGCAAACAUGAUGGCGGCCUUGGAACGGGAGUCAUCAAAGAUCGGGGUUGGAAUCAGUGGCUCAAAAACCAAAAUAAUGCACAUCAGAUAUGCCCGUGGACAUUUACCCAUAACCAUCGGUCAACAGCGAAUUGAAGAGGUUAAUCGAUUUACCUACCUGGGCUGCGUCAUCUCGGCGGAUGGCAACACAGACCACGAUGUACAGCAAUGGUCAUGCGAUGCCUCCAACCACUUUGGUGCAUGAACACCAUCACCCUCGAGACCAGGGUACAGCUGCUCAACUCCAUCGUCAUUCCAGUGGCUACCUAUGCCAGCGAAACUUUGAAAAUGACAGCCAUAACCAUCCACCAUCUUAAUACUUUCCAACAACGAUGCCUUAGGCGCAUCCUGAAGAUCACAUAUCAAGAUUGGGUGACCAAUGAGGAAGUGCAUCGCCGGACGUCGACUUGCCUGCUAGCGCAAAUCGUGGUCCUUCAGUGUGGUUUGCCAAACAGGUUCUCUGAGAGCUGCCAACCAGGCUCCUGCGAAUGGCCAUGCUUUGGAACCCACAGCAAGGAAGAAGGAAGCAAGGAUGCCCCAAGAUCACGUGGUGAAGGACAUUCAGUGAGGAUCUCAGAGGCGUCAACCUCUCUUGGAACGAAGCCGCAACCAUCGAGCCGAUCGAGCACAAUGGAGAUCGCUUGUCGCCCAAUGCGCCGAACGGCGCGGGAGGAUCUAAGUCCAAACCUGUGAGAGUCUACGCUUGAUGACAGGAAGGCAACGGAAGCGUUAAGGCUUGUUUCUACAUGACAGAGUGAUUCAGAUGGACCCUCCAUUACACCACUGGCUGCAUUCCAACAUCAUCUUACUAUAUUUAAUUUUUCUAAAAAUAAAAUCUAAAAAGUUCAAUUAAAUCA